UCCACUCAGCCUGCCUCCGCUUCACUCUGUCUGCCGAUCACUCCCACCUCAUCAAGCUCAACCCCGCUCACCUGCGGACACAGCUGCCUCUCGUCUGCAAUCAAGCCAGUAGGAAAACCUCUCCUGCUCACUCGCACAUUUCAAGACCGUUCUUUGACAUCAAAUGCUCGACUCUCCAGCCCUCACUCUGUUACUGAGUCCCUCUUUCUGACCCUGCAUGCAUUGUUAUGAUCCUUAAAAUCAUCUCAGCCGCCUGCCCCUGACCUUGAAGUCUGCCCCAGUGUCACUUGUUCCUGUCUGCCUCUUCCUCUGGCCGUGUGCUGACUCUUAACAAACAAUGCUGCAGAUUUGGACCCCCAAGCCGAAGCCUCCAGUCCACGCCAAAGAACUGAACUUUACCUACCUGUUUGUCCUUUACAAGCUGAGUCUUAAGUAAAGAUUCUUACCAACUA